AAAUUGAAGAGUUUGAUCAUGGCUCAGAUUGAACGCUGGCGGCAGGCCUAACACAUGCAAGUCGAACGGUAACAGGAAACAGCUUGCUGUUUCGCUGACAAGUGGCGGACGGGUGAGUAAUGUCUGGGAAACUGCCUGAUGGAGGGGGAUAACUACUGGAAACGGUAGCUAAUACCGCAUAACGUCGCAAGACCAAAGAGGGGGACCCUCGGGCCUCUUGCCAUCGGAUGUGCCCAGAUGGGAUUAGCUUGUUGGUGGGGUAACGGCUCACC
rnacentral:rRNA from 1 species